rnacentral:rRNA from 1 species
UACGGAGGGUGCGAGCGUUGUCCGGAAUCACUGGGCGUAAAGGGCUCGUAGGCGGCCAACUAAGUCGGAUGUGAAAUCCCCAGGCUUAACCUGGGAACUGCAUCCGAUACUGGAUGGCUUGAAUCCGGGAGAGGGAUGCAGAAUUCCAGGUGUAGCGGUGAAAUGCGUAGAUAUCUGGAGGAAUACCGGUGGCGAAGGCGGCAUCCUGGACCGGCAUUGACGCUGAGACGCGAAAGCGUGGGGAGCGAACAGG